rnacentral:rRNA from 1 species
UACGGAGGGGGCUAGCGUUGUCCGAAGUUACUGGGCGUAAAGCGCGCGUAGGCGGGUUGGUAAGUCCGCUGUGAAAGCCCGGAGCUCAACUCCGGAGGGUCGGUGGAUACGGGCAGACUAGAGGCAGGUAGGGGAGAACGGAAUUCCCGGUGUAGCGGUGAAAUGCGCAGAUAUCGGGAGGAACACCGGUGGCGAAGGCGGUUCUCUGGGCCUGUACUGACGCUGAGGAGCGAAAGCGUGGGGAGCGAACAGG